AUGGCUUCUGCUUUGGGGGAGUUGCAGAAAGACCUAGAAGAGGUCAAAGUAUUGCUGGAAAAGUCCAUUAGGAAAAGACUACGCGAUACUCUUAAAAGUGAAAAGUCCAAAAUUGAGACAGAACUAAAGAACAAGGUGCAACAGAAGUUGCAGAAGAAACCAGAACUUGAUAGUGAGAAGCCGGCUGCUGUGGGUGCACCUCUUACAGCAGGAUACACUGUGCAAAUCAGUAACUGUGGAUGGGAUCAGUCAGAUAAAUUUGUGAAAAUCUACAUCACCUUAACUGAAGUUCGUCAGGUUCCCACUGAGAAUGUGCAGGUGCAAUUCACAGAGAUCUUUUCAUAAAAAAACUCAAAGGAAAGAAUUACUCCAUGAUUGUGAACAAUCUUUUGAAACCUAUCUCUGUGGAAAGCAAAAAAAAAGACAAGACUGAUACAGUUAUUAUCCUAUGUAAAAGGAAAGCAGAAAACACAAGAUGGGACUACUUAACUCUGGGGGAAAAAGAAUUCGAAGAGAAAGAAAAGCCUUCCUAGGACACUGAGGCAGACCCUAGUGAGGGAUUAAUAGAUGUUCUAAAGAAAAUUUAUGAAAACGGAGACAUAAAGCGAACCAUUAAUAAAGUGUGGGUGGAAUCCAGAGAGAAGCAAGCCAGAAAGGACAGAAUUUUGAGGCUUUUAAAAGUCCUUAUGGGAACUGUGAUGUGGAGUGCUCAUGUUUCCAGUAAGGGAAACAUAUUUGUUCUUAGCCCUGUGGCUGUGCAGGUACAGGGAUGGAGACACAUUCCAGGAAGUGACAUGUUUCCUGCUCUGAGUUGCUGGUGGAAGUUCAUGAUGAGGCCCCUCCUGGUGCUGUUGCUGCUGGCUGUUGUAUGUACUUCUCUGGCCCGGGCCCUGCACUGUCAUGUGUGCUGUGGGCACGAGAACUGCGAGUCUCUCGUGGAGUGCGCCUUGACGGACAAGUACUGUGUGAUCACUCGGGCCACCAAACCUGGUGGCAUCCUGGUCAUGAAGUCCUGUGCCCCAACCUGCCCCAACAACACCGUGUCUUCAGAUGGCCAUGCCUUCUCUGUCUCCUGCUGUCAGGGCAGCCAGUGCAACUUCAGUGCUGCCUCAGGUCUGACCGGCAGCCUUGGGGCUAUAUGGGCCAGCGCCUCUAUCAGCCUACUGUGGGCACUGCUUCAAGCUGCCUGAUGAGGGCCUGGGUGGCCUUUCCAUAUCAUCGGAGAUCUGUCUGCAGCCUUGGCAGCAUCCUACCCCAACCCAGCCCGGGCUGUUACUUUCUUUCACCAUUAACCCCAAGACACAUUCACUCUUCCCUUCUCACACAGAAAGGAAGUAAGGACACCUGUCCCAAAGGCUCCUGCCCCAGAGCCCAGCUCUCUUGCCUCAGGAAAUUCUCCAACAGGGCACAGGGACACACCUUCCCAAGAUCGUCACCUCUAUAAGACCUCAGCCUUUUAUUGAGUCCUGGGAGUGCCUAGCUACCUCCAGUAGGAAGAGCUGAUGUUUUUGUCCAACUCCUUCCACCCUCAACCUUAGGCUUAGCAUUUGUACUACCUUCUCCUUGCCUGAAAGGAUGCUAUAUAUGGCCAUCUGGAUCCCUGGCCCCCCCUUCUAUGUGUGAAGUGACCCUGGCAUAUGGCAUGAUUGUAAGAUUUGGGCACUGUCUAACUGAACAUCAGCUUUUAAGAGAUCCCCUGACUUCCCACCGUGUGUGUCUGUGUGUAGGGAUAAGGCAGAUCACCUUGGGCUUGAUGUCAGGUGUUGGAAUGCGUAUCCAUCCUCCUUGGGCAUGGGGAAACCUGCUUUGUCUCCCUGGAAGCAUCAUCUUGCCAGCACCUUCCCGGAUGCUAUCCUAGGAGAAGAAUAAAUGUGCAAGUCUGCUUGGUCCAAGGUGUUGUGUCUUGGGCAUUUCUGAAUCUUGGUCAACCACAUCCUCAGAGACAGGCAGGUGGACUUGAGACAGGGCCAGGUGGAGUUCUUAAUGUACAAAUAAGCCCAGGUGCAGGAAUGGUGCCUCUGCCUUGGACUCAGGCCUUCUGUGUCUGUAUUGGGUCCCAUUGGCCAAAAUAGAGGAAACAGACUUCUACCACACCCCAACUUACAAGGGUUCCCUGAGAGCUCUUCUGAGCUACAGUGUCUCUAGUGCUCCUACUGGUGAGAUGAUCGCAUCCGUCACAGUGUCCCUGGGUCCCCAAAAGUCCAUAUUUUUGGGUUGGUGGCACGGCAAACCCUCAGCUUUCUGAACAGUCACCAGUACUCUGAGGCCACCCAAAACCAUUUCUCCUUGUGGGCUCUUCUUGAGGGGCAAAGCCAGAGCCCCUCAAGUCUGGAGAGCUUUAUUCCCUACCCCUGUUGUCUUUCCCUGUCACUGUAAUAAAACACUCUGACAAAA